UACAGAGGUCCCGAGCGUUGUUCGGAUUCACUGGGCGUAAAGGGUGCGUAGGUGGCAUGUUAAGUUUGAUGUGAAAGCUCAGGGCUCAACCCUGAAAUGGCAUUGAAUACUAGCGUGCUGGAGGUUUGGAGGGGGGACUGGAAUUCUCGGUGUAGCAGUGAAAUGCGUAGAUAUCGAGAGGAACACCAGUGGCGAAGGCGACCGUGCCCGU
rnacentral:rRNA from 1 species